rnacentral:misc_RNA from 1 species
UGGAAGAACCAUGGUAGCUUGUCAG